AAUCAGUGAUCAGUAAUUUAUCGAUCGUAGGUUUUUUACUUCAAGUUUCCAAGUAUCACCACGUGGAUCGUUGCAUUCUUUUGUUCUUCUCUCUCGAAUCUUAUUUAAUUGCAAAUGAACGCGCGUUAAACAUUCCAAACUUAUCUUCUACUUUACUCUUGAUAAUUAAUUACAGUAAUUUAGUUUCAAUCGUUUGUACUACAUAUUUAUCUGCGUGAGUUCAUUCACACAAAAGCUAAUGAAUAUUGGACUACGAAGAAAUAUCUUAAUAAAGAAAGGACCAUUAACCUUAACGAAAGCCCGCGCUAGCAAGUAGGAUCAAGCAUUACGUCAUCGUACUGAUCAUGUGUUGUGCUCGAACGAAGUUGUACGAACAAAAGAGUUUGAAAAUCUGGCUGACACAUAGAUGUAUGUUGGUAACUGGUGUCCCUGGGGGCGUUAAAUAAUUCACCGCAGCUGGGACUGAGGGUUAGGUAAGAGGCGAGGCUUGUGGGAGGGCAAAGGAGGCAAAGGUUGAAGGACCGAUCAAAUAUUCACGUCUACUUCAACGCGGAUGGAGCUAAGCAGCGUCGAGUACGCAGAAUGUAACCAAGAAAAGAAGAACCUUGCAAAAGUCGAGUCUGACCCGUGUCUCUUAUAACAUUUUCCCGCCUUCCUUUUUUACGAUGGUUACUCGUAUCCAGCCAAGUGAUCUCACGGGGUUCAACUCGAACGACCAAUCACGCUGAAGCGCCUAAAAAUGUGUCACUAGGGUGUUGUAAUGUCCGUCGUCGAAGCCUGUCAAUAGCGAUUUCACCAAUCGUCUUAAUAGAGGCCCGCGAUGUGCCACGAAUUUGGCCAGUUUCAGGGUUUUUUUUUUUUUGUUUUUAUAGGUAUACCAUUCAAGCAACUGGAGAAGUUUGAAGAUUGAAGAAGAAACAGGAUUCGUACAUUUACUCCUCUAUCCCAUUUAAAUUUAAUCACGUUUCGAAAACGAUUGGAUUUCUUGAAAACAAUUCACCUAUAAUAUUUCACGAAUUCAGUUUUCUUUCUUGCUUACGGAUCAUUCAGGUAGAGAAUUUCAUUGCUGUAACAGAGUUACACUAUGAAUGUUGUUUCAUUGUUAAUUCAAUAAUCGUUCCGUUAUUUACUCUUUCACCCCAUUCAGUUCCGGUGACCCCUUGAAAGAAAGCUGAUCUUUCGAAAGGUAGCCGGAGAAAGGGCGCGCGAAAGAAUUGGUCAACGAGGCGUGCUCCGUUCCUAAUCAUCAUUCUAAUUAUCUCGGUAACCCAAUCCAAUGUUCGUGUCGCGUCUUGGCUUCCUGCCUGGAUUCCCUCCUCAACUUCUCGGUUCACACCCUGCCUAACAAAUUUUCUACCCUCUCAAGCCGGCUGUCUCUUUCUUCGUCGAUCGUCAUCAUUCCCUCCCACUUCGAUCCAUCUAGCUUCUUCUCUUUUCCUUCCAGUUCUCGGUUCCUUUCGCUCCUUGGUCCCACUGCGUGUCUCCUCUCUUUUCUUCCAACCUAGGAAGUCUAACACUGCGGGAUUACCGGCGACCGCCCAUCUAAGUUUAACAAUUAACGACCGACUAGGGAAAAAUAAAUUAAUUGCGAACUUGCGCCGCGUGUGUCAGAAACACGCGGCCUAAUCUAUUGGACAGACCAGAGGCGUUUCUCCAGCCCUGUUAGAGACUUCUGAAAGCCUCCAGGGUGAAGAUACGUUGGGUGGAAGAUAAUGUGUUUUGUUGUAUUUUACAAGUGAAAGGAAGUAAGAAGACACAGAAAAUUGUAUAGAACAGAGUAGAUAUGUGUCGUUAGUCUUAUUGAACUUGAUAUGCGUUGAUUAAUUCGCUUUAGUUUUCGAGAUAUAUUCAAAAGUAUCUUUUAAGAUCUGAUUUAAAUAGAUUUUAAUUAAUAAGUAAUAAAUCGAAGAAAUAUUAGUAUUAUUUCUAUUAAAUUUUCUAUUUCAAUUCUGUAGAAACUCCAAUAAUAACAACUUGUACUGAAACCGCAUUACUCAUGAUGACGUCCCAGCAGAAGAAAACUAUGUACGGCGUCUAGUAGCAUUUUCUCGGAAUGGAAAAGCGAUUGUCAAGAAUCAGAAGAAACACGAGGCGAGCGGUGACUUGACGACAGACACCCUUUACGAAUCUUUUCUUCCCUCCGAGACGUCCUUUUGUCCCGGUUGUCAAGGCUGACAGAGAGUGCAAGCAGUCGUGGGACGAGGUAUUUGUCAUACGUCGAUAGGCGUCAGGAUUGACAUACUCCGCGAGCGUGAAACGGAAGCGGCGUUUGGGGCGCCGACGAUUGAAGGGUUCCGAGGGAAAGACAGAUAAAUAUUUGAGGAAUUUGUCGUCGCGGAGGAUGCCGGCAUCGGGAGACCUAUCGCUUGUUUACCAGCUCUGUAAAAAAGGAUUUCAGUCAAUCCCCGUAUGCAGAACGCAGCAAGGGAAAAUCGUGGCGAAUACAGGAGUAAUUGUCGUGAGAAAAAAAGCUGUCUUUUAUCAACUCUAUGCUCUAUUAGGAUAAUACUGU